AGCGAACGCUGGCGGCAGGCUUAACACAUGCAAGUCGAACGCAUCCUUCGGGGUGAGUGGCAGACGGGUGAGUAACACGUGGGAACGUACCCUUCGAUCUGGGAUAACUCCGGGAAACUGGAGCUAAUACCGGAUACGCCCUUUUGGGGAAAGGUUUACUGUCGAAGGAUCGGCCCGCGUCUGAUUAGCUAGUUGGUGGGGUAACGGCCUACCAAGGCGACGAUCAGUAGCUGGUCUGAGAGGAUGAUCAGCCACACUGGGACUGAGACACGGCCCAGACUCCUACGGGAGGCAGCAGUGGGGAAUAUUGGACAAUGGGCGCAAGCCUGAUCCAGCCAUGCCGCGUGAGUGAUGAAGGCCUUAGGGUUGUAAAGCUCUUUUGUCCGGGACGAUAAUGACGGUACCGGAAGAAUAAGCCCCGGCUAACUUCGUG
rnacentral:rRNA from 1 species